AGAAGCAGAUUUGCAGGUUGAGAAUAGUUAAAGUCUUGGCAAAUAAUUGCUCUGCAUUUUAUAGACAGCACAAACUAUUCAGAGUGCAUCGCUGCUGGACGUCAGGCAGAUCGUGUUCUCACCAAGCUGGCUGCUCUCACCUGGAUGAUAUCGAAUUUCUCACACGUUGGAGCUGCGUUCAUCCAAGCAUAUGGAGAGAACUGGUAGAUCAAGUGUGAUAUUGCCUUGAUAAAUAAAAUGGGAAUUCUAGAGUCAGUAAAGAUGAAAACCAGUUUGUGAAAUGGACCUGGGAAUUGUUUUGGAAAGAAGGCAAUGAAGCUUGUUCUGUGUUGGUGAAAAUUUUAAAAUGCCUGGCACCUUACAAAGAGCUGGGUGAUCUCACAAAACUGAAGUCAGCAACUGCACCCCAGCUAAUGUCACCAGUUUGCUCUGGUGCAGGAUUUGUAGCUACAGUUGCAAAGUAAUGCAGUCUCCCAGAGGCAUCCUCAAAAAUCAUUAAAACACAAGACAUAAGAGCAGAAUGAUGCCAUUUGGCCCUUUGAAUCUGUUCUGCCAAUUGUGGCUGAUUUAUGUUCUAUCACAUUCUCCUCCCUUCUGCUGGGAAAAGCAAAUACUCUCUCAAAAUGGUUGAGAUUCAACAGUGGCCCUUCUAUAAAUCUGCAAGCUUCCAAGAGGAGUGGAGUUAUUUACAGAGACCAAGUUAAUGGACAUUGACCAGGCUUUGGCACCUUCGGAAUAAAUAACAGGUUUUACUGUGAUGGAAAUCUGCUAAUUGAGUAAUAGUUGAUGGCUAAUGACUUGCAUCAGAUUGUGUUGAUUGCCAACGCAGUGACACAUUUCAUCAUACGUUUCAAUGUA